CGUGCUGAUACCUACUCUGGCACAGCAGGGGGCGCUGGAGCCACUGCAACGCCUCCAACACGGGAGGCGGCGGCUGCAGCAGGUGAGGCUUCGCCAGACCGGUGUCGGGUUCCUGGCGUUGGUGCAUUAAGUGGGUUUUCAUGUUUGCCCUGCCCUCGUUGAUUCAAAAGCAAACAUCUGAGUAGAGCAGCAAACAUUUCAGACCGAACAGAGACGACGCGGCUGAUUGACCUCUGGCUGUGAUGAUGCUCGCUGGUUUCCUCUUCCUGCUCCUCCUCACAGGUGGGAGCACAUCUAAUACGGAGCAACCAGAUCUACAAGCGACCACUGAGGACACAGAGCCAGGUGGGACCACAUCUACUACAGAGCAACCCGAUCUUCAAGCGACCACUGAGGACACAGAGCCAGUUCUUUUAGGUGGGAGCACAUCUACCACGAAGCAACCGGAGGCCACUGAGAAAACAAAAACAGACUCUGAGGAAGAAGUGGAUUGCAGUUAUCAAGCUGUUAUAAAUCACCUGAAACUGAACCAAACCAACUCAUUGUUUACUGUGACGAGACCUGUUAAACAUUUUAAGGAUCUUACAGUCGUAUAUGUCCAGUUCAUUCUUUACGCCAUCCUAGACGUGAGAGAAUCUGACCAGUCGUUCAUUCCUUAUGUUUGGAUAAGUAUGGAAUGGAUGAAUGACCACAUUGAAUGGGAACCAGACAACUUUUGUGGCAUUAAACGUAUAAUAGUUCCUACUGAGCUGCUGUGGAAACCAGAUAUAUUCAUUAAAGAGAUAACAGAAAAGGAGAAAACUCCUCCAAGCCCUUAUCUCAUCAUUGAAAGUGAUGGCUGGGUCAAAUAUAGGAGCGACCAAGUCCUGAUCAGCACCUGUGGGAUGCAGCUUUACAAAUUCCCCUUUGACACCCAGAGGUGCAACCUGUCCUUCAGGUCCAUCGUGCACUCUGAUGAAGAAAUUUCACUUAACACCAACCCCAACAUUGCAACGGUCACAGCGUGGUCACAUGCGAUCAUGGCCAACCAUUCUGAGUGGCGUCUGCUCAGUAUAACACCGAACCAAAUAACUGUCAACAACUUUGGACUCAACCACAGUACGAUUGUCUAUACAAUUUCCAUGCAGAGAAGACCGGUCCUGUACCUUGUCAGCUUCAUACUCCCCGUCGUUUUCUUUCUUUGUCUGGACUUUGCCUCCUUUCUGAUCUCAGACACUGGGGGUGAGAAGCUGAGUUUUAAGAUCACUGUGCUUCUUGCAAUCACUCUGAUGCAGCUGAUUCUGAAUGAAAUCCUGCCUUCACCCACAGACCGGAUCCCUCUGAUAGCUGUGUAUUGCAUUGGAAUCUUCAUGAUGAUGCUGCUCAGCCUCCUGGAGACUCUUUUAGUGAUGUGUCUGCUACAAAAAGACCCUGCAGAACAAUGUAAUAAGGACGAUGAGGACCGAAGCCUGAGUGAGGAUUGUACUGAUAGACAGAGUGAAAGCAGGGUGAGGAAUAAAUGGACUUUCUGUGUCUGCGAUGCUGAUGAACCACCAACUCAAGCUCUGCCUGAAAACGAGGGCAGCAGCAACAAGACGGAGGUGUCCCGAACCUUGGAGAAGGUCUCUGAUGACCUGAGGAAAAUGGAGAAAACCAUCAGUCUGUUCAGCAACGGCAGCAAGAAGGAAGGAAGGAAGCUCUACUGGAUCAGAGUGACUAAAAGGAUCAACAAAGUCUUCUUUGUUUGUUAUGUCACAGCAACCGUUUUGUUUCUCAUCUUUAUCUUUAAACUGUGGCUCACAGACGACAAUGAAUGAUAUAAAACGGUGACUGACUCUUAAAGUGAAGUCAGUCAGACACUGAUGAUGCAGCUGGUGCAGUGUGUUAGUUUGUACAGCGUGUUGUAGCUUUACUCUGAACUCAUAUCAACCAUGCAAUUAAUCUUUUCUUGUGAAAUCAACCUCUUUGUAGGACAGAGUCUCGUGAUCAAAUUUAACGUACGUUUUUAAAUUAAUUUGACACAGACUUAAAAAAGCGCCUUGUGAUAUUUAAUUACAUGGUUUUGCUGAUUCUGAACAUGGCUGAUGUGCUGACUACGCUAAAAGAACAUGAUUCAAAGUGAUGUGGCACCACAAUCAGUAACAAAGAUUCCACUUCACCAAGUAAUUCAACCACAGGAGACUGAUUUUUUAUUGUUUUACACAAUCUAUAACUACACAGUCAAGAUUUAAAAAACUUUAAUAAUCCCAGAGGGAAAUUAUUUUGCACACUUUGAUUGCUGUCACUGUUACAGGUACACACAAGAAGGAAGGAAGAUUAAAAAUAUGAAUGCUAAGUCUAAUUACUGUUGUCCAAUUAUAUCAAAUUAAUAGCUAAAGUUUUAUUAUACAUGUUAUUGCAUGGAUGGAGAUCACCCCUUACAGAGAGAUGAGGAGUUGUACAGACUGAUGGCACCCGUAGGAAGGAUCUCCGGUGGCGUUCUGUGGAGCAUCUAAUACUGAUCAGCUGUGGCUGAAGGUGCUCCUCUGUCCAGCACACUGUGUGGGGGUGGAGGUGUCGUCUAUAGAGAGGAGUUGGACCAGCAUCCUCCUCUCAGCUACAGCAUGUAGGGGGUCCAGCUCUACCCCAGAACAGAACCAGCCCUCCUGAUCACUUUGUCCAGUCUGUUACUGUCUGCUACAUUCUUUAUAUAUACUUCAAGCAGUGUUUAGAUCAUUUAUCCAAUACUAAAACAUUACUGUAAAUGAAAUAAACGGAAAAGACAACCCGUUCCUUUCCUUCCUGUCACGAGGGUCACACAAAUCUAUAAAGUACUGUAUAUCGUGUGACCUUUACAGUCAUCAGACUGCAGCAAAUCAACACACAUGAUUCUACAUUUAUAACGUGGUUUCAUUCUUCUAUUUAUCUCUCAGUUUACCUAUGUUUUCUAAUGUGAGUAAAACAUCUCUUGAUUCCAAUCUCUAUUUGAGAGUUGGACAAACACUGCAACUGCUCAGAGUGAUUGAAGGAUGCUCCACAUGGUUUUAUCAACAUGUGUGUCUGGUUGUACUCCUGCUGACUGCAAAUGGAGAACACAUGUUGGUGAAACAGAAGCUCUUGUGGUCGAUUAGAUCAGUCAGUACUAAAGUCCUGGCUGCUCCUUUUGUGACUGUAACUACCACAUAUUGAUUGUGACUGUGUUUAAAAUAAUGUUAAAAAUCAGUUUUAGCUGGAACUAGUUUCAAUAACUGAAAUGGAAGAAAGACAAUAUUGUUAUGUCGUCAUUAAUAAGUCGCUGUGUAUGUUUCGUUGUUUCGCUCUUUAAAGCGGACUCUAAUGGUGAAGACCUCUUGCAGUUCCUCGCUGCGCCGCUGCGCCGCCUCCUCCCGCGCUGCAGGUGGCGCUGUUCGUUCCCGUGUGACGUCGCUGACGUUCAAUCAGUGACGUGGAUUUUCAUUGAGGCAGUCGACGCUGCCAGACACGCAGGCUGUUCAACACGUCUGAGUUUUCCACACGCGUUUGUUCUGCUUGGUUCUUUUUGUCACGGUUUGUUACAGAAGAGUCCCACGAUGAGUAAAAACAGCAAAGUGUUGAACCUGAAGGAUAAAAUCAACGGUAACGAGGUGGACCUGAGCCUGUGCAACCUGACCGAGGUUCCAGUCAAGGAGCUGGCUGCGUUUCCCAAAGCAACCGUCGUGGA